CACACAGAGAGACGCACACACGGAGCUGCAGAGGAGUUCCCCCCACACCACCGUGCGCUCUCGUUUCUCCACGAGAGCGCGUAAAAGAGGGAAAAACCUCUGGAGACCGGAUGGUUCCGUCCCGCGGUGAAAGGUUCGGGCUGGUCCAAACCUCGCGACACAGCCCGGAAUGAUCGUUUCCAACGCGAGCCUUAUUAGCUGUGAAGUAUGUCCCGGGGAUGGAGCGGUGGGGGUGGCGGCGGCGACGGACGCGUACGACAAGGUGUCCGGUCACGGUGGCACUUUCCCUCCUCCUGCGUCCUUGAGCCCGACGGGGCACCUGGUCGUCGCGGUGUGCCUCGGCUUCAUCGGCACCGUCGGGUGCCUCAGUAACUUCUUGGUUCUCGCGCUGUUCUGCCGGUACCGGGCGCUGCGCACGCCCAUAAACCUGCUGCUGGUCAGUAUCUCCGCGAGUGACCUGCUGGUCAGCGUGCUCGGAACCCCGUUCAGCUUCGCAGCCAGUACGCAGGGUCGGUGGCUGAUUGGACGCGCCGGGUGUGUUUGGUACGGAUUUGUUAACGCAUUACUGGGCAUCGUCUCGCUGAUAUCCCUGGCUGUUCUCUCCUACGAGCGCUACAGCACCAUGAUGUCCCCCGUCAUGGCCGACGGCAGGGACUACCGUCCCGUGCUGAGAGGCAUCUGCUUCUCCUGGCUUUACUCUGUGUUCUGGACUAUGCCCCCUCUGCUGGGCUGGAGCAAAUACGGACCAGAGGGCCCCGGCACCACCUGCUCGGUCGACUGGAGGACCCAGACCCCCAACAACAUCUCCUACAUCAUCUGUCUGUUCGUCUUCUGCCUGGUCCUGCCAUUCUGCGUCAUCCUCUACUCCUAUGGCAAACUUCUGCUUGCCAUCAGACAGGUGCGGAGUUCUAUGGUGGCACGUCACCGGGAGCAACGGGUGCUGGUGAUGGUCGUCACCAUGGUGGUGUGCUACCUGCUCUGCUGGCUGCCGUACGGCAUCGCCGCGCUGCUCUCCACCUUCGGCUCCCAUCACCUCUUGACCCCCGAGGCGAGCAUCACGCCGUCGCUGCUGGCCAAAUUCUCCACCGUCAUCAACCCGUUUAUUUACAUAUUCAUGAACAAACAGUUCUACAGGUGUUUCCGAGCGUUCCUCAGCUGCUCCGUCCCUGAACGAGGCUCCAGUGUUAAAACGUUCUCCCGGGCGACCAGGACGCUCCGCACUGUCCGCUGGGAAAAGGGAAACCACGCGUCGGCCCAGGCUCAGUCCUCUGCCCUGUCUCUGCCAAACUCUGCCCACAGCGCAGAUCGCACAACUCCGGCGUACCGAGACUGCGCCGCCGCCGCCGCCACCUCCAACUCCCCCGCCGCUCACUGCUCCAGACCUAAACUGAUCCUGGUGGCUCACUACAGGGAAUGAGAGCAGGAGAGUCGACAACAAACGGGAGCUGAACGUUUAGAGGAGGAGACGACGAGCUGAAAGUGGAGCUCAGUGGGAGUCUUGGAAUACAAGACGUGGGGGGUUUUGUCCCGGGAACAUGGCCGGCAAAGAGGGACGCACAGAAGACGCUGGUUUAAUCCUAUUUAAGUGACGUCCUUGAGACACAGCUGAGGGAGAACAUGAAGAUGAAACAUGCCAAAAACAUGCUGUACUGUUCACAUUACAGGCUUCUGCCAUUAGAAUGUGCUUGUAUUAUUCAGACUGAAGAACAGCAGGGUUGAAAGCUACAUUCUCAAUUAGAUAGUCUCGCGUAACUCAUCUAACAUCAGGGUCCUCAGAUUUUUUUAUUACUUUAACAUCUAUAGCCCUAUUUGGACAGGAUUAGUUAUACAUGGAGGGGUGGGUAAAGUAAUUAUCGCCACAUCUUCUCUGUGAUUUUAGUUAUGUCCGAAUGUGCCAUGUGAGGACUCAUCACCGGACGCUGUCAGCAAAGAUUACAGCGACUUUUACCUCGGGUAAAAAGGUCCAGAACAAUGACCCAAGAUAAUCCUAAUCCCAUGCAUACUACUGAGUAUUAGAGCCAAACUAAAGACAUUUUUUACUUUCUUUUAGGAGUGAAGUCGUAAUAUUACGAGAAUAAAGCCGUAAUCUUUCUAAAAUAACGUAAUAUUAUGAGAAUAAAGUCGUAAUCUUGCAAGAAUAAAGUUGUAAUCUUAUGUGAACAAAGUUGUAAUAUUCUUACAUUGUUUUUCUCUUCAGUUUGGCCCUAAUACUCCGUCAUACAUACGUGUGUAAAUAUUCCAUCGUAUCCUGUUUUACAAGUAGUUUUCCGCAGAUUUUCAAGCACGGAGGCGUGUGAAGAGUCUUUGGCAAACCUCAGGUGUUUUCGGUCAUGCAGUGUGACGAACGCGAUUCUGAAACCAAAAGCCGGUCGGAAGCAGCUUCUCAGAGACGUGUGACUUGUGAUUGAUUUAGAGCCACUUACAUGUCCUUCACACGACGCAAGGACGGACACCGAGCACGAUGACUGUGAUGAAACACACGUGUGUUCGAGUGUUUCCCUCUCAACGAUGAGGACCUUCAAGUGUUUGUGGAUGGUGGAACAAAACCUUUAAAGCACAAAGGAACAAAGAAACUGACAAUCUAUGAUGUUUGUCUGCGUGUGCUUUAUUUAACUUUACGCCCAUCGACCAUGUUAAGAAUUCUGAGAAAAAGACCAAGGAUUCUAAUGCAGCUAGUGACCUGUAAAACAGUUGUUUUGCCUGUAACUGAAUCAUUAGAAUCAGUGGAUUUAAAAAGAUUUGGAGAAUUUUGGAGAUUAACGCAUGUUUUCAGGGUUUUUUAAGUCUUUUUAACUGAUCUACAGCAUUAUUUGUUUUUAUUUACUUUGAUACUUGUGUCCGAUGAAUUCUGAGAAAGACUCGGGAUUCUGACUUAAAUCUCAUAAAUCAGGGCAAAAUAAUUGUAAAUUCUACCUUCAAUCUCAGAAUUCGGAGAAAAAGAGUUUUAUUCAGAAAACGAGGCUACUAUACAUCCACACUAUUACUUUUUUAAACAUCACUGAAUUAUCGUCACUUUUCUUUAUUUUGUUUGUUAGAUUACCCUCAGAAUUGUUUGCCUGACUUUUUUCUUUUACUUUUUAACUUUCAGUAACAGUUCCAGUUGCUCUCAUUUGCUCUCCAUUUCUCUCAGGACAAAGCCUGCGGUUGCCAGAUUACUGCGGUUUUAUUUAUUCACUGUCAGUGUGAAGGACUUUUCCUCAUUUAAAAACUGUCAUAUCUAUCAUAUUGUUUUCUUGCAUGUGUGGAGGAGAUCUCAUCUCUACUGGUUAAGCUCCUACUUUCACAAACGUGAGAGCAACUCAUCGUCGUUUUUCAAAAGAAGUUCACGAGGUGCCACACUUCCUGUCUGACAGCCGCGCUGUAAUCCCAGGGAUUAUUCUGCUGAACAGCAGAUGGGGACUUUUCAACGCAAGGAACGGCCUGAAGCAUGAGAACAAAACAAAGAAGACGUCCGCCAGAAUAUGUGAGAAGUGUUUGUCAAGUACUCAGUGAGACACUCAGCUUCAAGUGUUUUGUUGUGGUCUGCACGUGAGUAAGAUUCCUGUGCUCCAGGGGAAAUGACUCUCAAUCUGAGAUGAGAUUCUGAGUCGAAUCUCAUCUUUUGUAAAUGUGUCUCAAGAUUUGUCAAAGUGUUUUCACAUGUUUUAAUACUGGUUUGCACUUCCAGGCCACCGUAGUGGGACAGUGGUGACGUCGGUGUGACACCCUCUGACCAAUCAGUGGC